rnacentral:rRNA from 1 species
GCUUAACACAUGCAAGUCGAACGGAAAGGCCCUGCUUUUGUGGGGUGCUCGAGUGGCGAACGGGUGAGUAACACGUGAGUAACCUGCCCUUGACUUUGGGAUAACUUCAGGAAACUGGGGCUAAUACCGGAUAGGAGCUCCUGCUGCAUGGUGGGGGUUGGAAAGUUUCGGCGGUUGGGGAUGGACUCGCGGCUUAUCAGCUUGUUGGUGGGGUAGUGGCUUACCAAGGCUUUGACGGGUAGCCGGCCUGAGAGGGUGACCGGCCACAUUGGGACUGAGAUACGGCCCAGACUCCUACGGGAGGCAGCAGUGGGGAAUAUUGCACAAUGGGCGGAAGCCUGAUGCAGCAACGCCGCGUGCGGGAUGACGGCCUUCGGGUUGUAAACCGCUUUCGCCUGUGACGAAGCGUGAGUGACGGUAAUGGGUAAAGAAGCACCGGCUAACUACGUGCCAGCAGCCGCGGUGAUACGUAGGGUGCGAGCGUUGUCCGGAUUUAUUGGGCGUAAAGGGCUCGUAGGUGGUUGAUCGCGUCGGAAGUGUAAUCUUGGGGCUUAACCCUGAGCGUGCUUUCGAUACGGGUUGACUUGAGGAAGGUAGGGGAGAAUGGAAUUCCUGGUGGAGCGGUGGAAUGCGCAGAUAUCAGGAGGAACACCAGUGGCGAAGGCGGUUCUCUGGGCCUUUCCUGACGCUGAGGAGCGAAAGCGUGGGGAGCGAACAGGCUUAGAUACCCUGGUAGUCCACGCUGUAAACGGUGGGUACUAGGUGUGGGGUCCAUUCCACGGGUUCCGUGCCGUAGCUAACGCUUUAAGUACCCCGCCUGGGGAGUACGGCCGCAAGGCUAAAACUCAAAGGAAUUGACGGGGCCCCGCACAAGCGGCGGAGCAUGCGGAUUAAUUCGAUGCAACGCGUAGAACCUUACCUGGGUUUGACAUGGAUCGGGAGUGCUCAGAGAUGGGUGUGCCUCUUUUGGGGUCGGUUCACAGGUGGUGCAUGGCUGUCGUCAGCUCGUGUCGUGAGAUGUUGGGUUAAGUCCCGCAACGAGCGCAACCCUUGUUCACUGUUGCCAGCACGUUAUGGUGGGGACUCAGUGGAGACCGCCGGGGUCAACUCGGAGGAAGGUGGGGAUGACGUCAAGUCAUCAUGCCCCUUAUGUCCAGGGCUUCACGCAUGCUACAAUGGCUGGUACAGAGAGUGGCGAGCCUGUGAGGGUGAGCGAAUCUCGGAAAGCCGGUCUCAGUUCGGAUUGGGGUCUGCAACUCGACCUCAUGAAGUCGGAGUCGCUAGUAAUCGCAGAUCAGCAACGCUGCGGUGAAUACGUUCCCGGGGCUUGUACACACCGCCCGUCAAGUCAUGAAAGUUGGUAACACCCGAAGCCGGUGGCCUAACCGUUGUGGGGGAGCCGUCGAAGGUGGGACUGGUGAUUAGGACUAAGUCAUAA